UAAACUACAAAACAUUAUCAAGACAGGCGGGGGGAGACGCUCUCCUACUCCUCGACCAACAUCAAAAGCCUGGACCGUUUUGGGUGGAACACGUAAUAUCAGUGACAGCGUUUUGACAAUACUUUCUUCCCCGGGCUCUUAUGUGUUACACCAUUGUGGCGGGACAAACCACAACACAAUUUGAUAUUUCCUGGAAACACUUACAAUUGUUGUCACUUUCGGUAAGGGACCAAUCUGAGCAAGUGGCGUUUUGCAGGUAGGGACCAGCUCGUGUGAGCGGAGUGGUGGUAUAGGAGUGUCAGCCGUGACAUGGGUAGGGAGAGAGUGAUGGACUGGUGGCAUCCAUGAGGUAAUGUGGGCCUGGGGGAAGUGAUGUGAUCAACAGAACAGGAGGAGGUAAUGGGCGUGACUGCGGGCGGCUGCUUGGUGUGCGGGUCCUGGGCCGGUGGUGGUGCCACGGGCCGGGUCGAGGUGAGGUGGGUGAGUCUGGUUGCCUGUGCCGUGUGCCUCCACUGCCUCAGUUCUGGGCCAGCAUCUGGCGAGGCAACACGUGCCGCUUGCGUCUCUGCCUCACGCUUACUCGCGCUCACUUUUGCGCACGUCACCCGCACCCUUGUCCGUCUGCCUGCGGUGUGACCUGACCACCGGUGACCUUGGCCGUUAUACGGUGCACCUGCUGACCCACCCUACACAAGCUUCAUCCAGCCCAGGUCACAUUCUCUGUCCUCACUCGUGUCUCAACCCUGUUGCUUCCUGGAGAUUGAUGGUGGCACCCUAGACCGGCACAUACACACACACGUACCGUACGCACAUGUUGCCGCCAGUAAGUGUGUCGGUGGCGUGAGUACCCGUGACACAGUAACUGGAGACGCCCCGGGUGCCGCCUCCUGCUGCACCGCCCCGAGACGCCGCCCAUCGUCUACACCUGACCACACGUGAGGGGAUCGUGUGAGACGCCACUGAGUAAGGUGGCGCGGGGUGACUAAGGGAGGUGUUUAUCAUAUGUUGCCCUCACUCCUUACCAAG